rnacentral:lncRNA from 1 species
CGUGUGGGGGAUGUGAAGAAAACACCAACUUCAAAGACGUCUCCUUGAGCCUUCUGUUUAAGUCACACACCAAAGAUAGACCAACGAAACUUGCGAGUUAGAUGAUGAAGACUUUCUUUGUGAAACAGAGAAAAGAACAGAGCAAAACAGAGAAGAUGAAACAGAGCACACAAGCAAGUUUAUCCAGUUCACGCCCGUUAACUAGCGUCGUUACAUCUGGCGGGAUCCUUCUCCCGGAAUCCACUAGAUCAAUAAGUGUUUACAGAGAUAUCAAAACCCUAAGGCCUUUACAAGACUCUCACCGGUUUAUCUCUACACUCUUCUCCAAGAACACAAAGCUAGCUUAUGCUAUGAGUUUAUUCUCUCUCCUCUUUCUCACACCUCUCCCAUAUACAACAAGUUACAUAUAUAUAUUU